CAACACUUUCUGGUGUUAACAUAUGAUUUUUGUGGUUUUGAUUUUCAUUCAAUUGCAGGUUCCAGCUGCACAAACUCAUGAUCCCAAGGUUAAGCCUGAUUGCUAUGGUGUCUUCUGCCUUACCUUUGAUUUCAAGCCUGCCAACAACGGGUGGUGCUGCUCCUCCUUCCGAGAUCGUAAAGUAUCAGUAGACUACAUAUCAAAGAGGUUAAGUGAUUCUGUGUUCGACAACUCCAUCAAUGAGCUGAAGUGAUUCCGUGUUCGACAGGUACACCAAAUUGGACCGUCCAUGUUUUCGAUGCCAAAUCUGGUCUUUCUCUACUUGCAAAAUCAUAUUAUGGAAUUGUUGGUUUUCAAGACCAACUCAGGGUCUGUUUGGAUAAGUACUUAUGUAUACUAUUUCGAUGCCAAAUUAAUGCAGGUUGUUUGUGUAGGUACUACCAUAUAUGAACCAAUCUUAAGUUACUAUUUUGGUUCAAAACUGUGUUGUAAAGUUACAUACUCAUAAUAUUAUGAGUCCUUUGAAAUGUUUUCAAUCUUAUUAAAUAUAUGGAGUAGAGCCAUCUGUAAGUAAUGUGCUCAAUGGCGGUGAACCAGGUAAAUAUCAUUGUUCAUUUAUUUGUCAUUUUUGGCAUCUGAGAAGUGAUUUAUACAAAAUUGCUAUGUAAAAGACGGUUAAAAUUAUGUAGAACAAUGUCAUUUAUUACUCUCUUCUUAUGUCUUGAAUUUGCAGGAAUCGAUGAAAUGCGAUUGAUUUGUUGAUAUUGGUACGUAGAUAAAACCAUUGAAACUGGAUUAUCUGAUGCAUGUUGGUAUUCAUUAAUUCACAAUCAAUAUAUACAUCUUGAGAUCUACAUUAAUGGUAUUGUGAUCCAAUUCUUUUUCCAAUUUGAAUGAGCCUUUAUGCGAUUGUAAAACUCUUCCACCUACCUUGAGAUUGGUAGCUUUAUCGGCAAUGUCAAUUUGUUUCGUCGACGCCUCUGUAUAGCACCAUAGUACUGUCAUUCUGCCUAGCAGAAUCAACAAUUGCACCAUUUUCAUACAAUGAUGCUUCUAGGAUGUUAUGUCGUCUUGUAUUAUUAUACUCAUGAUGUAGUGCGGAAUAUCUCACCUAUUGCGAGAGAUACAUCGUCUUUUAGCCCUUUGAAUAACCAUUAUGAUAUAGUGCUACUGGAAUGUCAAAUUAUAGAACAAAAGCUUUGGGACGAAGAUCCUCAUGAGUAUGUUAGGAAAGACUAUGGUAUGUGAUGCCUUCUUAUUGGAGGCUUUUCAGAUUUGAAUUGAAAGUAUCUUCUGCACUUCGCUUUCAAAUUGUAAUCUUAUGGUUUUAAUUUUUUGUUUUUUUACUGUUUCCUACUGUGUCACUUUUUCUUAGAUAUGAGUAAGUUAUUCUUUAGAAUUGUAUGCCACUUUUCAAUUAUGAAAACAACAUUGUUUCUAAGAACUAAGAUGCAUAAGGUACAAGGACUAAGAUGCACUGCUAUUGAUACGGAGGUAGUAACAGUAUCAUUUUAUUACACUGCUGCUGGUACAGAUGCAGUAACAAUUUAUAUUUGUUAUUUUUGGCUCAUACGUUAGCCUCUCUGUACAGGCCAAAGUUGCUCAUGUGAAUGCUUGGAAGGUUUCAUGCCAAAUUUCAACCAAAGUGGGAGUCAUCAAUUUGGUUUUAUGGGACUGUAAGGAAAACACAUUCAAACACAUCCUGGUUUGACAAGAGCCUGAGCAUUGAGGAAUGCAAGACUGUGUGUUUGAAAAAUUGUUCUUAUCAUAGUAGUGGCUGCUUAAUUUGGUUUGACACAAUUAAGGACAUGUGAAGGUGUAAUCCAUUUAUAUCAGUUGUGGAUAUUGUGGACAUGACAAGGCUGUUUCAAAAGGAAAAGGUAUUUUGGUUAUCAUUUCUAAGUUUAUAUCAUUUAGUUUGCUGAAUGAAAAUCUCAUUUUAUUUGAUUUCAUUAACUAAGCAGUGGAUUGAGACUUUUGUUGCAUAGCUUUGUUUGACAAAGUAUUAGUUAGAGAAUGCUUAGCAAGUAUGAUACUUGCAAGGUUAUGGAUACCCGUGUAAUGCUGGAGCUUCGACAAAAACAUAUUGCUUUGAUAACGGUUUGAUGGUCCGUGAAGCAAUGAAAAGGAAUUCCGAUCUAACCGAGGACAUUAUUACUACAUGCCAUGAGUCGGAAAUAACUCAGGAAAUCGAAGACACUUAAUACAUAACGGUUAAAAAGACACCGAAUACGAAAGGGUUAAAAGACGCUAAAUAUGAAAAGGUUAAAAGACAAAUCCAAGAUGUUGGUGGAGCUGUCAUGAAAUAAGCAAGGUUUUCUUACUUGAUGUUUCUAUUCCUAUUAUAAUCUAGCUAUCAAUUCUUAAUUUUAGAAGGUUAGUGUUUAAAUGAUUAUGGUAAUUUAUGUUUUUAGCUUUUAGAAAAACUUGUCCUGAGUGACAUUUUACCUGAGAAGCAGUUGUUUUCACAUUUUGAUUGUGUGUUUCUUGUGUGCGUUCCAAUCAUAGGAUAAAUGAGGCAUCUGUUACAAUCAUAUGAUAAUAUGAAUCUCUAAUCUAUGUAAUCAUAUUAGUUUGCUUAACUGAGAUGUGGUUUGAUAAAUAUUCAAGGACACUGAGAUUUGCUGAUACUUAUAGAAUGGAGUGCCCAGCUACAGUUCACUGUCUCGUGGUAUCUGAUGUGCCUGCUACGGUGGAGCAUCGAGCCAUUGCGGAAGCAGAUACAUCCACCUCGGCUGCCAUUGUGGCUGAAUGUGUUUAUAAUUUUAUUACAUCUAUGUAUUCCUUGAAACUUAACAUGGUGGCUGUGGAUUAACUGAAUUUUUCUACUUUGGUUACUAAUA